CCUACGGGAGACAGCAGUGGGGAAUAUUGCACCAUGGGGGAAACCCUGAUGCAGCGACGCCGCGUGAGUGAAGAAGUAAUUCGUUAUGUAAAGCUCUAUCAGCAGGGAAGAAAAUGACGGUACCUGAGUAAGAAGCCCCGGCUAACUACGUGCCAGCAGCCGCGGGAAUACGUAGGGGGCACGCGUUAUCCGGAUUUACUGGGUGUAAAGGGAGCGUAGACGGCAGUGCAAGGCUGGAGUGAAAGGCGGGGGCUCAACCCCCGGACUGCUCUUGAAACUGUACGGCUGGAGUGCAGGAGAGGUAAGUGGAAUUCCUAGUGUAGCGGUGAAAUGCUUAGAUAGUAGGAGGAACACCAGUUGCGAAGGCGGCUUACUGGACUCUAACUGACGUUGAGGCUCGAAAGCGUGGGGAGCAAACAGGAUUAGAUACCCCUGUAGUC
rnacentral:rRNA from 1 species